AUCUCGAACCCACUAUCUCGAACUGAAAAGUUUUGGUUAGGGUUUCUCUGUCUCUCUCUCUCUCUCUAGAACCCCCAAUUCAACGUCCUCUCCGUUCUCCGCCAGCCUCUUCUCCCCAACGAUAGAUCCAGCAUCCUCCCCCGUCAAAACGGCUUCGAAGAAAGAGAGGUGAGAAGCCAUGGGAGGGCAGGGAAACCCUAGAGAGAGAAACAGAGAGCGGAGAGAGAGAGGGGGGAAUGGGGGAGGGGAGAGAGAGACGAUUGGGAGGAAAUCGCUUCUUCCUGCUGUGGCGGCAUCCACCCGACCCGGAUGUCGUCUGCGCUGAUUCGGCGGCUGGGGAUUGGGAGGUCGCGGGGGAUUUCAAGAACAUGUCCAUUUUCGCCACAAUUGACAAGUUGUAUCCUCCUAAUGAUUGGCUAGUGGGGUCAUCCUUGCCCUCUAAAUUCAGCCAAACCAUUAUUGAAUCAGCACUCAAUGAGCUUACCCCAAACAAUGUUAGACAUGGCGUAAAACAGUUGACAGGGCUUCAAAGGUCUUCUCGGAGAUGCAUUACAACCGGCACAAGCGCUUGACAAAUGAUAUUGCUUAGACCAUGCUAUUUCACACUGUGGAAAUUUUUAUCUGACCUGGGGUGUUGGGAAGGCAGGAGCAGAAGUGUGGUUUAUGAAGCUGUUUUGGAUGGAAACAAGGUUGCUGUGAAAAAACCCAUUUUGUCUACCUCUGAUCACAUUGAUAAAUUCCACAAGGAAUUGCAAAUGCUAUGGUCAUUUCUACUCUCUCUCUCUCACUCUCUCCAUAUAUACAUUAGCUCAUUUUGUCCUAUUUAGCACACAAAUAUUCUCCACCUUUUCUCAUUUUCUAUCUCUGCCUUACGUGAAUUCCAAAUUAGCAAAUCCCCUUUUUGUGUGUAUAUACAUGUGUGUGUGUGUCUCACUAUGUAAGUAACCGACUAUAGUGCGAUGAUCAAGGCCUGCCCUGAGUUGUUGGAGCCCUAAGCGGACUCUGGAAAUUGGAGCCUUUUAUAUAUAAUCAUUAAAAAAAUUGCAUGUAAAAUAGUAAGUAUUUACAUUUGAUGUAUAUAUAUAUAUUUAAAUUUGCUAUUACCCACACAAAUUUAGCUUGCAGAUAUAAUUACUAAAAUUUACUUACACAAAUUAAGACACGAAGAAAAAUCAUUACAAGAGCUCAAAAUGAUAAGAAUAUUGUCUUGUUAGUUUUAUAAUUUGACCAAAUUCAGUUUACAAAAAGGUAUCAGUUAAAUAAUACCAAAUAAAAAUUGAACCAACUACAACAGUGUAUCAGUUAAAUAUUAC